GGCGAGUGAAGCGGCAAAAGCUCAAAUUUGAAAUCUGGCUCUUUCAGAGUCCGAGUUGUAAUUUGAAGAAGGUAUCUUUGGGUCUGGCUCUUGUCUAUGUUUCUUGGAACAGAACGUCACAGAGGGUGAGAAUCCCGUGCGAUGAGAUGAUCCAGGCCUAUGUAAAGUUCCUUCGAAGAGUCGAGUUGUUUGGGAAUGCAGCUCUAAGUGGGUGGUAAAUUCCAUCUAAAGCUAAAUAUUGGCGAGAGACCGAUAGCGAACAAGUACAGUGAUGGAAAGAUGAAAAGAACUUUGAAAAGAGAGUGAAAAAGUACGUGAAAUUGUUGAAAGGGAAGGGCUUGAGAUCAGACUUGGUAUUUUGUAUGUUACUUCUUCGGGGGUGGCCUCUACAGUUUAUCGGGCCAGCAUCAGUUUGGGCGGUAGGAGAAUUGCGUUGGAAUGUGGCACGGCUUCGGUUGUGUGUUAUAGCCUUCGUCGAUACUGCCAGCCUAGACUGAGGACUGCGGUUUAUACCUAGGAUGUUGGCAUAAUGAUCUUAAUUCGCCCGUCUUGAAA
rnacentral:rRNA from 1 species